AUGGGCAUAGAGCUUUAGAUGCCUAUGUCAAGCAGAAUUCCCAAAAGGAACCUGAGGGAACAUAUUCAUGCUGGGAAAACUUUUUUUCUGUUUAUGUGACUUUACACUCUUUCCCAGGUAACAUAGACUGGACAGUCUCUUGAGAUUGUAGAAAGGCCUGUUCUCCUAGAGAAGACAAAUGCUUCUAUGAUCAUCUUUGGAACCAAAGAGAAGCUCUUAACAUGUGGCAUCUUCCUCUUGUCGAUGGCUACCAUUUGAUAAGAUCUCAUACGGAAUGUAGUGAGUGUCAAGAGUAUGUUGGGCAAUCUGUGAUGAGCAGGAAGACAAAUGAGGACUUCAUUCCCUACACUGCAUUAACUAAGGAGGUAGAAGACUGGAUUCAGAAGAAGAGUUACUAAGAAGAACAAAACAUGUGAUUCUGCUAUUGAAUAUGAAGCUGGCCAAAGAAAAAUGCAGUGCUAUAAUCUUCAUGCCUUCCUUUAAAACCAAAGAAGUUUGUAUUUUGUGGCCAAUAAGGAACUGGAGCUAACACUCUCACCGACUUCCCUGGGAAUCAUCUCCUCCCCCCAGGGUUCUGUGUUCUCAUAAAUACUUGCCUCUGCAGCAAGAGCCAGAGAAGAGAAGUGCGCACAGCACCUCACCCUCCAGCGGACACUGGUAACUGGAGGCAUACCGUCGGCGGUAACAGGACCUCAGACAGACUCGGCUAGAGGUGUUACCGUACAGCGGUCUGAACUUUGGGAAGGCAAAUCCCACAGAAUGCAUCCACACUGCCACCAGACUUCUGCUGCAGAGAAGGAAGCUGCAGGAUGAAUAUAGUUUGCUUCACACCCACAAAAGGAGACUGCCGUUCCUUUAGUCUCUGCUCUUCCUUCACUCGUGCUUUGCUCUCUCCUGCUAGCGCUCAGUGGGUUGGCCAGCUUGUUGGGAGGCCUGACUUUGGCAGCCACCCAAACCCAGUCCUCCCAGCAGUAACAUAUGCUCUGUCUGCCUGGGAAGAUUUGGUAGACAAUGGCUGCAGUGAUGGUACAAAAAUGGAAAGAGCUGCUGUGAAGGCCCUUAACUCCGUCCUGUAAAAGAGAAGCUGGAGGUGUCCAGAAGAGGACUUGUGCAAGGGGGACUCACUUCCUAAACCUCGGGUCUGGACUGAGCUAGGCACCGUUCACUUUCCAGGCGUGCACAGAGUGACAGGGUACUUUUCCUGUGACUUACUAAUCCAGCUUGGGAACAAAACAAGGGAGGAUGCUACCACACUUCCCACAAACACAGCGGUGUUCACACCUUUUGCUCAUUCUGUAAAAGAGUCCCAACAGAGCUCUCAGGUCCUGGGGAAGCCUGAUGAGAGAUGUCGUUCCAGACCCGCAGACAGAGAAGUCGCCCCUUGGAGAGGAAGAGGAGGAAGAGUUCUCGCAGGCUUUUGAAUAAAACAUCAGGGAAUGCAAUAAACACGCCCAGGGACUCCUCCAGAUGUCCUAGCGUUGGGCAGGGAAGCAGAGUCUUCACCAGCUCUGGGCUCUUCCAAGACAGACUGGCAGGAUUAAGUGCCAAGAGUCCAAAUGAAUUUGGUCUGCACAUUUCAAGAAGCACUUAUGUUUUCUGGCAUUGCUAGUGUGGAAACAAAGAAAUGACAAGGAUUGUGUGGAGGUAAGAGAUCGUCAGAUGAAAAAUGAUUUCGUCAACACGUAAGCCUGCAAGGGACUGCCUAAUCCACCCGCCUGCACAGAAGCAGCAUCAGGUGUAGUUGCACUAUCCUACAAUUUUUAUUUUUGAAGAUCUUCUCUGCAAACUACCUAAGGAGUCUGUUCUCCUGCCCUUUUAACUAGAAAAACAACUAUUUUAUGUCCAACCAGCAAAAGUCCCCCUGUCUUAGAAAUAAUGGAAUGUAAUGUCACUGUGGAGUAAAAUUAUUUGAAGUCUUUGGAAUUUAUGUAUUCAGUUGUUAAAAACUGCAUGUCUAAUCCUCGGAAAUAGUAGAUGAGUGCUUGAUAAAUUUAAAUAAGUCAAUAACAAAUAUUAAUAGGAAACAGUAAGAACUGAUUUUACCCCCAAAUGCAUGCUAUACAGUGCUGCAGAUAUAAAUGCAGUGUAAUAUUUUAGUUAUGUCAGUUUUUAGGUGCACAGCUCGCAGCUUUUACUCUUCACUGGUAGGACCGAGCAGAGAUGGAAGCCCCAAAACAAAGGAAAGAACAUGUGCCCCUGCAAGAUCAGUUUCUGUUCAUGUCCUUGCCACAGACAUCCUUUCUGGCCUGAGACACUAUUAAUUCUUUUUAUUCUUUGAAAAAGCAAUACUACAGCUAAAUAUUUAUUGAAACCACAGUUUCUUGUCAGAUACAGCUGUAUUUUUAUUGAACACAUUUGAAGAACUUUUGUUCCUUGUAAUAUUUUUAUUUGUAAACUGUAUGACUGUUUUGUAAACAGUCAUAAGUUUACAUCAUAAGUAAAAGAUCACUUCUGCCUACCGCUACCAUGGGACAUAUUCUCCCCACUACUGCAAGAUAAUUAACAAAAUAUAUAUGCUUAGUGCUAAGAUUCUCUUGACAGUGAUAGCCCCUUAGCUGCUAGAUCUGCUAUCCCAUCCAUCACUAACAUCAGGCAAAGCAAGCAUUAGUUUCUCUGUGACUUAUCUAGGUCUUUAGUAGAUCAAUAGCACUGCUCAAAUGUUGCAGACUCUUCCCUAUUAAUUCACAUUUAUCUUUUCACCUGAAGAAGGCAAAUUACCUCACAGAGAAGCUGUGUUAUCCCCAAUAGUGGUUUAUAAUGUUGCAAAGUCAGCGUGACCCACAUAUCUUAUCUCAGCUGGAAUGCAUUUGUCACUGUCACAUGUUAUGAUCAUCUGGUAAAACACCCUAGAAAAAGAGGUAAACCUGCAAAAUGGCUUCACCAUUUUCAUUUAAUAACCUUUUUGGUGUGUGCUUGUGCAUCACCUUAAAUUUAAACCUCUAAAAUAAAGGGAACCUUCUUUUUCCCUUUAAUGUUCCAUUUCAUCAUUUUUUUUUCAUUAGCAAAAUUCUCAUUCCUCAGCAAUCUCCAUUUCUGCUAUGAGUUCAUCAGUACGUGGUGAUAUGGAGACUGAGAACUGAAUUAUUUAUUAAUAUGCUUUGUUAACUCUGAGAAAGGACUGCUGAGUUUUACUAUGUUUAUGGUUGCUUACAUUUCUACAGUGGGCUGCUGGUUACCUGAACCUUUUCAGGCUUUGGGAGUGUUUAAUGUUUUGUUAGGAGGAGGCAUGAGAAUGACCGUAACCUAUAAUCAGGCUGCUGCAAGAAGAAAUACUGAAAGAAACAAGAGUCUGAUGCUGAUUAUGUAGUUGGUGCUCUUUCCUUUCAAAACUAUAGUAAGGCAGACAUUUUGUUAUCUUUUAUUCUAAAAACUUCAUUAAUUUGUGUAAUGGAAAGAAGACUUGCCUAUAAACACACUUGGCUUUAAGAAGUCUGACCUAGCUGGAUGCAACAAUAGUACGUUUUUAUUCUGUGCAUUCAUAUCUAUUGAGCAAAUGACUGAGCUCAAGUCAGAGACUGAACUCUAUUCCUUAAGUGUUAAAUUCUUAGGUCUGUAAUUGCGAAAUCAGUUGGUGCAAUCAAGGAUGUCUGCUUUUUGACGUAAGGAAAAGGUAGGUUCACUUUCAACGUAACGGAGGAUUUCUUUCCACGCGAGAACCUCCCACGGGGGCCGCUGCCGGGAGCAGCCAGAGCACUGCGCUUGCUCGCACGGCGCAGGCAGGAGGAGCGGCGAAAGCAGGCACUUCCCGCACCCAGCAAAGACCAUCCUGGUGAAAACAACUGGAUGUUCUCGGACAGAAAUGUUUGCUCGGGCGCAGGGGCACUACCCGGGUGCUUCCUGUGACAGUUUGCUGCUGUUAUUAACUACACUCUGCCCCCACAUUUCCAGGGCACAGAGCUGUUGAGCCUCCUGAACUCCGUAGAAACUCACUGCUUGUAUUUCUGUGACAUUUCUUGCACAGAGAAUUAAGAAGCACCGUUAAGGGAAGGGCGUGAGCUCGCUGGGCCUGGGCUGAGCGUUAGCACCAAGAAGGGCUGGAGGGUCCCUUCUGGGGGGGGCAGAGGCUCCUGCCCCUCAGCCAGAUGUGCUCUCACAGGAGGUUUGUGGUGUGCUGGCGACCCGGUUCAGUGCUAUAAAACCUGCUGAGGCUCCUCCAGCCCUCAGUCCGUUACCGUUUGUUGCUCUCCCAUGUGGGCACCGCCAAGGGAGACCCAGAGCAAAUCGAGAGUGACUGGAUACGUGAAACCUGACUCAGGAUCACAGGGUAGCAGUAAAUGGUUCAUACUUUGCCUGGAGGGUGAUAACAACAAGAGUUUCUUGGGGGUCUGUCCUGGCACCUGUCCUGUGUAAUGUCUCUAGGAAUGAGCUGGAGGAGGAGACAGAGUUGCACCUCAGCAAGUUUACAGACAACACCGAAUGGGCGCAUGCAGUUCGUAACGCUCGAGGGCAGGGCUGCUACCCAGCGGCACCUGGGCAGGCUGGAGGUGUGGGCCAGCAGGGACCUCAUGAAAUUCAACCCUCGCCAGCACCGUCCUGCACCGGGGGUGGACUAACCCCCUGCAACGAGGGACUGGCUGUGCCCCGCCUGCCAGGCUGGGCCGGCCUGGUGGGGAGCAGCUCUGCCAAAAAGGCCGUGGGGGUUGUGGCUCGUGAGCCGGCCGUGUGUCCCGGCAGCAGUGGGGCCAACAGCAUCGGUGCUGUGUGCGCAGGAGCACAGCCCCUCCAUCGAGGGGAGUCAUUACUCCUCUUCACUUGCUACUUGUUAGACUGUAUCCAGAAUAUGGCAUCCAAUUUUGGACCAGUCCAAUGUAAGAAAGAUGCUGAUGAACUGGAGCAAGUUCAGCAUGAGGUCAGGGGCUGGAGCACAGGCUCGCUGAGGAGAGGCUGAGGGUACGGGGCUUGCUCAGCCUCGAGACGGGGAGGUGUUGGGCACCCAACAGCAGCCCCCAGUGUCUACAGGGAUGUUACCAAGACCACAGGGCCAGGUUUUUUGCUGAGAUUUGUGGUGGGAGCAGGAGAGACAACAGUCACAAAUUGACGCAGGGGAGGUUCUGAUGGGAUAUAAGGGGAAAAAGUAAAUCCCUAUGAGGACAGUGGAGUGUUGGGACAGGAGCCAGGAGGUUGUGUGAUCUCCAUCCCUGCAGGUUUUCAAGACCUGACUGGGCAAAGCCUGGAGCAGCCUGGUGGGUCUCAAGACCACUUGUAUCUGAAGCAGGGAGAAAUGAUUGUUCUCUGUGCUUAAGUAUUUAAUUUAUUGAAGGAAGCAAGGAUGGAUAAAUGGGUGUUUCUGUAGGGUUUCUGGCGUAUUUUCCUUUCCUUGUUCCCUACACCAGGUGACUGUACAUGCUGAAAGGUUACUUACCUUUCUUUGGAAAUCUGCAUGCAUAGUAAAUUUGCUGUAUUGUCCCUGUGGUUUAAUUUAUGUUGAGGAAAGCUAUCAGGGCAUUAAAGGUAAGAGUUUCUGAACACAAACUGCCAUAAGGUAUGAGGAUAAAAGAAUUCUCCAGUUGCAUUAUUUUGUUCUUUGUAUUAUAAACACACUGCAGCAAAUCAGAAAUGUAUGGGAAAUAAAAGAAUAAUGAGGCACUGAGGACUGGAAACCUGGAAAUAUUUUCCCAUUGGGAUCUUACUGGAAAUUACUGCUGUGUUCUGUCCCUUCUGUGAAAGAAACACUAUUCACAUGUACUGCGCUAACAUGCAAAUAUAAGCCACUUCUUAAUUUUAAAAGUGCUUUGUGAACUGA